UCACUGCGGCGAGCUGACGGAGCAUACCGCGUGAGGGAUGACGGCCUAUGGGUUGUAAACCUCUUUUUUCAGGGAGGAAUCAAUGGCGUGUACCUGAAGAAUAAGCAUCGGCUAACUCCGUGCCAGCAGCCGCGGUAAGACGGAGGAUGCAAGUGUUAUCCGGAAUCACUGGGCGUAAAGCGUCUGUAGGUGGUCCAAUAAGUCAACUGUUAAAUCUUGAGGCUCAACCUCAAAAUCGCAGUCGAAACUAUUAGACUAGAGUAUAGUAGGGGUAAAGGGAAUUUCCAGUGGAGCGGUGAAAUGCGUAGAGAUUGGAAAGAACACCGAUGGCGAAGGCACUUUACUGGGCUAUUACUAACACUCAGAGACGAAAGCUAGGGUAGCAAAUGGGAUUAGAUACCCCAGUAGUCCAGUAUAAUAUCCCCCCUGUGACAAAAGGGAUUAUAUACCCCUGUGUUCAAAAGGAUUAUAUACCCCCUGUUGUCCAAAGGGGUUUUAUUCCCCCUGUGGUCC
rnacentral:rRNA from 1 species